GAUGAACGCUGGCGGCGUGCCUAAUACAUGCAAGUCGAGCGAACAGAUGAGGAGCUUGCUCCUCUGACGUUAGCGGCGGACGGGUGAGUAACACGUGGAUAACCUCCCUAUAAGACUGGGAUACCUUCGGGAAACCGGAGCUAAUACCGGAUAAUAUAUUGAAUCGCAUGGUUCAAUAGUGAAAGACGGUUUUGCUGUUACUUAUAGAUGAAUAUGCGCUUCAUUAGCUAGUUGUAAAGGUAACGACUUACCAAGGCAACGAGACGUAGCCGACCUGAGAGGGUGAUCGGCCACACUGGAACUGAGACACGGUCCAGACUCCUACGGGAGGCAGCAGUAGGGAAUCUUCCGCAAUGGGCGAAGGCCUGACGGAGCAACGCCGCGUGAGUGAUGAAGGUCUUCGGAUCGUAAAACUCUGUUAUUAGGGAAGAACAAAUGUGUAAGUAACUAUGCACGUCUUGACGGUACCUAACCAGAAAGCCACGGCUAACUACGUG
rnacentral:rRNA from 1 species